UACGUAGGGUGCAAGCGUUGUCCGGAAUUAUUGGGCGUAAAGAGCUCGUAGGCGGUCUGUCGCGUCUGCUGUGAAAACUCAGGGCUUAACCCUGAGCUUGCAGUGGGUACGGGCAGACUAGAGUGCGGUAGGGGAGACUGGAAUUCCUGGUGUAGCGGUGAAAUGCGCAGAUAUCAGGAGGAACACCGGUGGCGAAGGCGGCAUCCUGGACCGGUAUUGACGCUGAGGAGCGAAAGCCAGGGGAGCAAACGGG
rnacentral:rRNA from 1 species